GUUGCUAAACCUCAUUAACGACUAGGAUAAACCCUAUCGGGCUUUAACUAUUAUUCACUGAAACCCUCUCGGCAGGAUAAACCCCUCUGAAAUUUUACUCUCAACCGACCAAGAACAAAUGGCAAUCUCUGCCGCAUCUGCAGCGGCCAGAUCCAUUUUCCGAUCAUCUUCAGUCCGCAAUGCCGCCGCUCGUGUCACCUCCAAAGCCAAGCCAUCUCGUUCCCCCUUCUCUUCGCCUUCACGAACCCCUCUGUCUCAUCGAGUUUUCAGGUCACCGGUGGAAAUGAGUGCUUGUGUAGAGUCGAUUCAGCCAUACCACACCGCCACCGCAUCGGCUUUGAUGACUUCGCUGCUCACCGUCUCUCGUUGCAGCUACGCUUGGCUUCCUGAAGGUUUCUAGCAACAUCUUCUAGGAUCCUCCUUUAUGUCUUUUUCCUUGAUUUUGAUUUCUGCUUGCACUGAUGAUAUGUGAUAAAUAAAUGGAGAGGUCGAGCAAAUUGUAAUGAACAAAUUUCAGCAUCCUCCUUCAAUGGCAUUAAGUUAAAGAGGUUGGGCUGAGCUGCUGAAGAGACACCCUUGAUGCCUAUUUCUUCCAAUUACCUUACUAGUUCCUACUCUUCUAUGGUGACUUGAGAUAUAUGUCCAAUUUCCUGACUUUCUAGAUGAGCACUUCCUAUUGGCACUAAUACAAAUUGUUUUGACAGCUAAUAUCGAUUACUUUUUCCUUUAACAGCUUUUAAAUAAGUGCUUUUUCCUUUAGUCAUCUUUGUAACAAGUUCAUCAAGACAAUAUACUGAUUUUCACGUAUCAACCAGCUUGCAACGAUGAUGUAUGAUCAGUGUUCUUCAAUCCUCCAAGGCAAUCAAGAAAAGCUUCUUCAUCACAAUCUCUGGCAUCUGGAUGGGUGAUGGCAAAUCACCUAAUGAGAGAUGCCAGUUAUAUGUUAUCUAGUGUUUUUUUCCUCUGCUUCUACUGGCCUUUAUUUAUUUAGAAUGCAGCAUUGGUGAAAGGAGUAAUUAUAUGUUUCUUGCACAUGAGCAUGUAUUAAACAUACGCUAGCUUUACGAUAGAUUAUUAACGAGUUAUGCCUUAAAUUGGUCAAGGGUCAAGGUGGCUGUUACAUAUGUGACUGGCAGAGGAUAUAUUGACAUUUGGAUUGACAAUUAGAAGUUUCAUGAUGAUAAAUAGUGUCUCUUAUAUAGUUUGGUUGGUUUUGGUAUUAAAUGACAAUCUAUGUGGUGAAAUCUUGAUUCUUCCCUAGUGAUUUUCCCCCCAUGGUAGUCG